UCACGAGCGACUGCCGGGAGGGGCUCGCCGCCCCCAGGCCGGACGGCA
rnacentral:miRNA from 7 species